GGCUGGCUUCCUCCUCCUCGUGAUCCUCAUCGCCUUCACCCUACAGGUGCAGGAGCUUCAGGCUGCAGUGAGGCCACUGAAGCUUCUGGGGAACUGUGCUGAGCUCUGCAGAGGCGACUGGGACUGUGAGCCUGGGGAGCACUGUGUCAGCAAUGGAUGUGGCCAUAUCUGUGCUUCACAAUAAUGACAGAUGAAGAGUUAUCUUAAGAAUCAUCAUCAUCUUUCUUUAAUAAUUGCUCAUGCCUUCCUGGAAUUCCUACCUUCAAAAAUGUGACUGGUUGGAGUGCCUUGACCAGGAAGACAGCUGAAAAUGGGGGCCUGUGGAUGGAGAUUGAAAAGGGUGCAGGGGGAAUGGAAGAGAGGGUGUUUCUCUUAAUAAAUCAUCAUUAAAAUCAUCCAAAC